rnacentral:ncRNA from 2 species
CCUUCGCGACUUGUUUCAGGUGCUCUGUGGCCUUGGGUCGACAGAGUGAAACAGGGAAGCCGGUGAGUACGCGUGCCGAAGGCGCACGCACGACGAUUCCGGCGCUGCCCCCGCAACGGUAAGUGAGUCAAGACUGCGCCUGAUGCCACUGUGUCGACUGUCGACAUGGGAAGGCGCGCAGUUGGGCAUUCCAGCCACUCACAAGCCCGGAGACCGGCCUGAUCCAUCCAACGGCA